rnacentral:siRNA from 1 species
UAAUGUUGCUUAAUCUAUCACUGC